GAAUUGACGGGGACCCGCACAAGCGGUGGAGCAUGUGGUUUAAUUCGAAGCAACGCGAAGAACCUUACCAGGUCUUGACAUCCCGAUGACCGGCCCGUAACGGGGCCUUCCCUACGGGGCAACGGAGACAGGUGGUGCAUGGUUGUCGUCAGCUCGUGUCGUGAGAUGUUGGGUUAAGUCCCGCAACGAGCGCAACCCUUAUCCUUAGUAGCCAGCACGUGAUGGUGGGCACUCUAGGGAGACUGCCAGGGACAACCUGGAGGAAGGUGGGGAUGACGUCAAAUCAUCAUGCCCCUUAUGAUCUGGGCUACACACGUGCUACAAUGGCGGCCACAAAGGGAAGCGACCCUGUGAAGGUGAGCAAAUCCCAAAAAAGCCGUCCCAGUUCGGAUUGUAGUCUGCAACUCGACUACAUGAAGCCGGAAUCGCUAGUAAUCGCGAAUCAGCAUGUCGCGGUGAAUACGUUCCCGGGUCUUGUACACACCG
rnacentral:rRNA from 1 species